UUGUGCUGGUAGUGACCUGACUCUUCUGUGAUGAGGAGGCCCAAAGACUAGGCUCGGGCCGCUUGGCCCCCCCAGUGUGUGACCUGCUAAGCCUGAGUUUCCUUAUGCGGCCAGUGGGAUCUGGGGUCCCCAGGGAUGGCAGGGGAAGGGCCGGAGAGCAUCGCUGUGUCUGCCGCUGACCUAGCCUCCAGCCAGCGGGCCUUCGCUGGAACUCCGUUUGCCUGCCGGAACAGUUGCAGGGAAGGGGCCCGGCGGCAGCUUCCGGGUCGGACGUCCGCGCGCCCGUCCCGCGUUGCCUGGCGGCCCGCGCUCCAGGGCUGGCCUCUAGGUUGUCGAGUGAGAGGGAGGACCAGAAGCCGCCCUGGCCUCCUCUGCCUCGGUGUGGGGCUGCUGCCCACCUCGGGCACCUCCCAGCACCUGGGGCGCCCACAGCAGUCUAGUGUGCUGGCCUUCCCGGGCAUGCACGGGAGCGGCAAUACCUGGGCCCGACCUGGCCACCAGCUUUCCCUCACGGGGCAGGCUUCCUGGGAAAGGAAGAAGGGACGUUGAAAAGAGACCUGCAGCGAUCAUAUUAACCAGUUGUGGAGAACUGGCCACACGUGGGCAUUUUACACGCCUGAUCUCCAGUUUUAGCCAGCUGGGUGCAGAUGAUUCCAGCCCAUUUAACAGGCAAGGAGACUGAGGGAGCUGGCGGUCACCCCCCACCUGGGACCAGGUGAAUUUCAUAAUUAUCUCGACACCUGCAUUCAUUCACCUGCCAUGUGACUACAAGAUGCUCAGGGGAUCCAGCAGAGAAUAAAAGGGACAAGACCUGGGCUUUCAUGGAGAUUACAUCCUGGUGGGGAGGACAGACAGUAAGACAGUAGGUCUACAGGAGAUGAUGACAACAUUGUUGAAGUGGAUUCUGGGAGGUGAUGAUAGUGCUGACUCUCAGAGAUCCUGGGACAUGGUGACACCAUGGUUGAAUUGAAUCCUGGGAGGUGAUGGCACAUGGUUGAAGUGGAUCUUUGGAGGUGGUGACACCAUAACUCUCACAGAUCUUUGAAGGUGAUGAUGACAUUAUCAGGUACCAUGGGUCCUGGGAGGUAAUGAAAUCAUUGGCUCUCAUGGAUCAUGGGACAUGAAGACACUGUGGUUGAUGAGACACCAUUGGCUCUUAUGGCUCCUGGGAGAUGAGCAUACCAUAGUUUUAGGAUGGAUCCUAGAAUAUGAAGAACAUUGUGACUGUGGUGGAUCUUGGGAAGUGAAAACACCAAAGCUAUGGUGGAUCCUGGAACGUGAAGACAUGGUUAAAGCAGAUCCUGGGAGGUAAUAAUACCACAAGUAUGGAGAAUUCUGAGAAACAGUGGCAUCAUCAGUCCUAAUGGGUCCUGAUAGAAAAUGUCACCAUUAGGCAUAAUGGAUUCAGAAGGUAAUGACAUCAUUGGUUAUGGUGGAUUCUAGGAUAUGAUGACACCAUGCUUAUGGUAGAAUACUGAGAGAUGGUGACACCAUUGGUUGUAGCGAAUCUUGGGAGAUGAUGACAGUGUCAAUCACAGCAAACCCUGGAAGAAGAUGAUAGUUGAGGUGGGUCAUAGGGAAUCCUGGGAAAUGACAUGGUUAACAUUUGACCCCCAGUGCUUUGUCAUCAUGAGUGGUGGACAUUGUAUGGCACUGAGGAUGUCAUUGCCAAGAUCAACAGCAGGCACACCCCAACCCUCCCCCUCCAGUAGGAGGCUAGGACUUUGCUGACAGAAUUGGUGACGUCUCUAGACAGAAAGAAGUGACACAAGCCCUCAGGCUACUGACAGACUCCAGAAGCCUGGUGAGUCAGAGCGGCCUCACUGGAGUAGAAGCCCAUUCAGGGGCGCCAUCACCUAGGAGUCACUGCACAGGGGCCCAGCCUCCCUUCAGAGGGUCUGGCAGACAUCGCGGUGGUCAAAUCCCUGGGGUGAGGGAAGGAGCCACCAAGCCAAGUCAUGGUGGGAUGAGGCAGAAGCUUGGUGACACCGUCACUGGUGACAGGCGUUCAGAGCAGAUACUGCCUCUGAGGAGGAAGCUCUUGGUGAUUACAUCGAAGCCUGGAGCUCACUGCCAACGGCUCGUGGAUAGAUGAUUGUCUAGUGGAGCCUGGUCCCAGAGGGUGGCCUUCUGAGUGAGGACACCUUAGGCAACAGAACAGGCGCUUUCUCUAGCAUUCUCACCAGGGGGCUCCUGGACUCAGCAUGGCUGGCCUUCUCACCACAUGGCAGCAGCUCUCGGAGGUGUCCCCUGGCGUCAUGACCAUCCAAGUGGGUGGUGUCUGGUGGUAACAACCCAGAAGGGCCUUGCUCUGGAGAGGUCACAGGAGCCGGCUGUCAUCUCUGGUGAUGGCAUCCCAGGAGGAGCCACGCCCCUCUGAUGGCAUCAUAGGGAAGGCAGCUUCUCUGGUGAUGCCAUCACGGGAAGGAGGCCGUUUUGUGACAGUGUUGUGGAGAGAAGGCCUCACCUUUAGUGAGUACACCACAGGCAGGGUUUCUCUGCAGUGUGUCCCGAGAGAUGGCUUUGUCUGUAGCGACGACAUCAUAGGACACAGGCGUCUCGUCCACAGCAAAGACAAGAAAGAAAAUAUCUUCCCCACACAAUACGCCAAAAGAGACCUUGGAGCUAAAGAUGGCAUCGGAAGGGCGAGACUUGCCUCCGAUAGCACAGAAAGUCUGUGGUGAUGUCACAGAAGAUAGUUGCAGCCUAUAUAGUGAAUGACCUCACAGGCAGGCCUCUUCCUCUGUGAGGACCUCAUGGGAAGGGGUUCUGUCCCUGUAGUGACAUCACAGGACACAGACAUUUCUGCUAGUGACUUCAUGUGCAGGCCUCUUCCUCUGUGAUGACAUCAUGGGAAGGAGGCUUUGACUCAAACAGUGACAUAAUAGGAGGAGGAUCUCGUCUCUGUUUGACAUCCUGGUAGGAGGCUUUGUCUCAGUUCCAAGGGCCCCUCUGGGUCUCUGGAUCCUGGGGUGUGUGAGCCUGUGUCGGGGGAUCCCGACCCGGAGCAGGGGGCCUGCAAGGCGGGGCCCCCAGCCCCGGCCUCAGACAGUCACCUCGUUCUUGCUGGCGGUGCGCAAGUGCUGAGGCAGGUGGUGGCCAGGGAUGAACUGCAGCUGCUCCAGGGUGCCCUGGCGUUGGAAGGGCGGCCUUCGGGCCAGCGUGCCCCCGCCCCCACCGGCAUCCGACACCCAGGCGGGCUGAGGCGAGCCGUGUAGGGCGUGGUGGUGGUGGGCGUGCAGGCCGGAGGGGGGCAGCCCGUGCAGCGGCGUCGGGGGGCCCCCCGGCCCCAGCAGCAGGUUGGAGUGUGAGGCUGCCAGGCUGGCCCGGGUGGCCGGCUCCGGGGGCAGCGCAGGGCUGCGCGGAGGCGACAGGAGGUGCUCGCGGCUCUGCCGCAAGGCCUCGGGCGAGGAGAGGAGCAAGUGCUCCUGGGACACCAGGCGCGCCCGCGGCAGCGUGAACUCGUAGCGCGAGGCCCGGCCUCCAUCGCCCAGCAGGUGUUCCUGGGACAUGACCCGCCGCGGGUUGGGCGCCGGCGCCAGGCCCAGCUCCUCCGGGCCACCCCAGCCAUCCAUCCGGUAGCCGCCACCCGUGCCGGGUCGCCGCAGCGUGUGCAGGGGCAGCGUCCCGCGGGGCAUCUCCGCCAGGUGCCGGCGCUUCAGGUAGGCCUCGUCCAGAUCCUUCUCGGCUGGGCAAGAGGGGAAGGCACAGAGCCCUUUCUUAGCCCAGAGCCGCCUCCUCCCGUCUUCUGGAACUCCCGCAGGCCUCCCCGGAAGGGCCAGGUGCACAUUCCCGGGCCCACUCUAAUGCUGGGGCCAGGACAGCAACCCCUGGCCCUGAGCACCCCGUCUUUCCAGAGAUGAGCCCACGCUAGCUUGCGGGAACUGCCUUCACCUCCCUUUCGUUGUCACACUGGUGGUCUGAGUCAGUGGUGGGUUGUGAAGUCAGUGUUGUGGGGAGGGACCAGCAGUUUGAAAAAUGAAAUAGAAUAGGAAAGAAGACUACCAGAGCUCCACAGGAUAAGGGGAUAAAGGUCUCAGAUACACGUGAGGUUGAAAUGGUAAGGGAUCAAAUGACAUAAGGCCCGGGAUUAGUUUAAAAGAAUUCACCAAAAGACAGGCACAGAGAGGACGUGGCAACAAAAUGCUGCUUGUUGCUAGAACUCAUGAUGGGAACAUGGGGAUUCACUUAAAAAUGUUCUUUACUUUUACACUUAAACGUAAAAUGUCCAUAAUAACUAGUUUCAAAGCUUUUCUGCAAUUAAAAAUAUGCAUAUGUCUGUGCCUCACAGACCAUGAUAUAAAAAGCAUUUCUUAGUGUGGU